UGAAGGAACUAGGCAAAAUGGUGCCGUAACUUCGGGAGAAGGCACGCUGACACGUAGGUGAAGUGAUUUACUCAUGGAGCUGAAGUCAGUCGAAGAUACCAGCUGGCUGCAACUGUUUAUUAAAAACACAGCACUGUGCAAACACGAAAGUGGACGUAUACGGUGUGACGCCUGCCCGGUGCCGGAAGGUUAAUUGAUGGGGUCAGCGCAAGCGAAGCUCCUGAUCGAAGCCCCGGUAAACGGCGGCCGUAACUAUAACGGUCCUAAGGUAGCGAAAUUCCUUGUCGGGUAAGUUCCGACCUGCACGAAUGGCGUAAUGAUGGCCAGGCUGUCUCCACCCGAGACUCAGUGAAAUUGAACUCGCUGUGAAGAUGCAGUGUACCCGCGGCAAGACGGAAAGACCCCGUGAACCUUUACUAUAGCUUGACACUGAACAUUGAGCCUUGAUGUGUAGGAUAGGUGGGAGGCUUUGAAGUGUGGACGCCAGUCUGCAUGGAGCCGACCUUGAAAUACCACCCUUUAAUGUUUGAUGUUCUAACGUGGACCCGUGAUCCGGGUUGCGGACAGUGUCUGGUGGGUAGUUUGACUGGGGCGGUCUCCUCCUAAAGAGUAACGGAGGAGCACGAAGGUUGGCUAAUCCUGGUCGGACAUCAGGAGGUUAGUGCAAUGGCAUAAGCCAGCUUGACUGCGAGCGUGACGGCGCGAGCAGGUGCGAAAGCAGGUCAUAGUGAUCCGGUGGUUCUGAAUGGAAGGGCCAUCGCUCAACGGAUAAAAGGUACUCCGGGGAUAACAGGCUGAUACCGCCCAAGAGUUCAUAUCGACGGCGGUGUUUGGCACCUCGAUGUCGGCUCAUCACAUCCUGGGGCUGAAGUAGGUCCCAAGGGUAUGGCUGUUCGCCAUUUAAAGUGGUACGCGAGCUGGGUUUAGAACGUCGUGAGACAGUUCGGUCCCUAUCUGCCGUGGGCGCUGGAGAACUGAGGGGGGCUGCUCCUAGUACGAGAGGACCGGAGUGGACGCAUCACUGGUGUUCGGGUUGUCAUGCCAAUGGCACUGCCCGGUAGCUAAAUGCGGAAGAGAUAAGUGCUGAAAGCAUCUAAGCACGAAACUUGCCCCGAGAUGAGUUCUCCCUGAGACUUUAGGUCUCCUGAAGGAACGUUGAAGACGACGACGUUGAUAGGCCGGGUGUGUAAGCGCAGCGAUGCGUUGAGCUAACCGGUACUAAUGAACCGUGAGGCUUAACCUUACA
rnacentral:rRNA from 1 species